rnacentral:rRNA from 1 species
AGCCUGCUAGUUGUGCGGGUUUAGACCCGCAGCGGAAAGCUCAGUAACACGUGGCCAAGCUACCCUGUGGACGGGAAUACUCUCGGGAAACUGAGGCUAAUCCCCGAUAACGCUUUGCUCCUGGAAGGGGCAAAGCCGGAAACGCUCCGGCGCCACAGGAUGCGGCUGCGGUCGAUUAGGUAGACGGUGGGGUAACGGCCCACCGUGCCCAUAAUCGGUACGGGUUGUGAGAGCAAGAGCCCGGAGACGGAAUCUGAGACAAGAUUCCGGGCCCUACGGGGCGCAGCAGGCGCGAAACCUUUACACUGUACGAAAGUGCGAUAAGGGGACUCCGAGUGUGAAGGCAUAGAGCCUUCACUUUUGUACACCGUAAGGUGGUGCACGAAUAAGGACUGGGCAAGACCGGUGCCAGCCGCCGCGGUAAUACCGGCAGUCCGAGUGAUGGCCGAUCUUAUUGGGCCUAAAGCGUCCGUAGCUGGCUGAACAAGUCCGUUGGGAAAUCUGUCCGCUUAACGGGCAGGCGUCCAGCGGAAACUGUUCAGCUUGGGACCGGAAGACCUGAGGGGUACGUCUGGGGUAGGAGUGAAAUCCUGUAAUCCUGGACGGACCGCCGGUGGCGAAAGCGCCUCAGGAGAACGGAUCCGACAGUGAGGGACGAAAGCUAGGGUCUCGAACCGGAUUAGAUACCCGGGUAGUCCUAGCUGUAAACGAUGUCCGCUAGGUGUGGCGCAGGCUACGAGCCUGCGCUGUGCCGUAGGGAAGCCGAGAAGCGGACCGCCUGGGAAGUACGUCUGCAAGGAUGAAACUUAAAGGAAUUGGCGGGGGAGCACUACAACCGGAGGAGCCUGCGGUUUAAUUGGACUCAACGCCGGACAUCUCACCAGCCCCGACAGUAGUAAUGACGGUCAGGUUGAUGACCUUACCCGAGGCUACUGAGAGGAGGUGCAUGGCCGCCGUCAGCUCGUACCGUGAGGCGUCCUGUUAAGUCAGGCAACGAGCGAGACCCGCACUCCUAAUUGCCAGCAGUACCCUUUGGGUAGCUGGGNACAUUA